CGACCCUUCUUGGCCUUGCAGGUCCAUGGGACUUGAAGUCCAGAUCCCAGGUGGUGCCUGGGAGGAGACUGAGGUGGAUGAGGAAGGCAUUCCAGGAGGAGAGGACGGCAGGGAAGCCAUCCCACAGGACAGCCCCUGGCCAGAACCGAGCUCAGGCAACCCUGUGGCAUGAAGUUCCCCCUACACAAGCGUGGCCACUGCCAGGCUUAUGCCCCCUCCUCUGAUUCAAGAAGAAAAGCACCAGGACUGCUGCUUGGCCGUCGGUGUGACGAGGGGCUGAAGGCUGCUGGAGGUGUCUGGUCCUACCUGCUCCUCCCUCUCCCACCCAAAGGACCUCUGGGGUUCCCCCAGGGCUGGGGAGGGUGGCUGGAGUGGGAGAAGGAGGGCAAAAAGGGGGACAGGGACUGAUCUGGAACAUGGAGGGGUAAGGAUAA
rnacentral:lncRNA from 1 species